rnacentral:rRNA from 1 species
UAAGGGCGCACGGUGGAUGCCUUGGCACUAGAAGCCGAAGAAGGACGUUACUAACGACGAUAUGCUUUGGGUAGCUGUAAGUAAGCGUUGAUCCAGAGAUUUCCGAAUGGGGGAACCCAACAUGAGUUAUGUCAUGUUAUCGACAUGUGAAUUCAUAGCAUGUCAGAAGGCAGACCCGGAGAACUGAAACAUCUUAGUACCCGGAGGAAGAGAAAGAAAAAUCGAUUCCCUGAGUAGCGGCGAGCGAAACGGGAAGAGCCCAAACCAACAAGCUUGCUUGUUGGGGUUGUAGGACACUCUAUACGGAGUUACAAAAGAACAUGUUAGACGAAUCAUCUGGAAAGAUGAAUCAAAGAAGGUAAUAAUCCUGUAGUCGAAAACAUAUUCUCUCUUGAGUGGAUCCUGAGUACGACGGAGCACGUGAAAUUCCGUCGGAAUCUAGGAGGACCAUCUCCUAAGGCUAAAUACUCUCUAGUGACCGAUAGUGAACCAGUACCGUGAGGGAAAGGUGAAAAGCACCCCGACGAGGGGAGUGAAAUAGACCUGAAACCGGACACCUACAAACAGAUGGAGCCCAAGAUACGUUCUGGGUGACAUCGUACCUUUUGUAUUAUGGGCCAGUGACUUAAUUUAACGAGCAAGCUUAAGCCGAUAGGCGAAGGCGCAGCGAAAGCGAGUCUGAA